GCUGGCACAGUGGUGUGCACCUGAAAUCCCAGCUACUCAGGAGGCUGAGGCAAGAGGAUCACAUAAGCCCAAGAGUUCAAGACCAACCUAGGCAACAAAGAGAGACUAUGUCUCAA
rnacentral:sRNA from 1 species